rnacentral:rRNA from 1 species
UACAGAGGGUGCGAGCGUUAAUCGGAGUUACUGGGCGUAAAGGGCGCGUAGGCGGUUUAAUGUGUGUGAUGUGAAAGCCCUGGGCUUAACCUGGGAAGUGCAUCGCGGACUAUUGAACUGGAGUCUGAGAGAGGGUGGCGGAAUUUCCGGUGUAGCGGUGAAAUGCGUAGAGAUCGGAAGGAACGUCAAUGGCGAAGGCAGCCACCUGGCUUAAGACUGACGCUGAGGCGCGAAAGCGUGGGGAGCGAACAGGAUUAGAUACCCUGGUAGUCCACGCUGUAAACGAUGAGAACUAGAUGUUGGAUGGGGAACCAUUCAGUAUCGAAGCUAACGCGAUAAGUUCUCCGCCUGGGAAGUACGGCCGCAAGGUUGAA